UUAAGGGAGACCUACCCGCUCUACAGUUGAAAGCAAAGUGCGAAUAGACUGAGAGUUGGUCAACCUUAGGUCGAACGAGACAAAGUGUGAAGCGAAGGGCUUUCAAACUAUUUCUAGGUUUUGUUUACGUAAUUGUUUACGUAAUUGGUUUAGUCAUUUGGUUUACUCAAUCAACGAGACCAACAAACUAGACGAGCAAUGAGUAUCUAGCAAUCUGUCUAAUCUAUUGAGUUAGCUUAGAAGACCUGCUGGAUGAAGAGUCCAGAAGUGAACCUUGAAAACUGCAUAGUCACGAAAGAGAAGUCAAAGAAGAAACGACUGCAACUUGAAUUCAUGAUUAAGGGAAAGCCAAAGCGAAAGUAGAGGCAAGAGCUUGAUGAUGGGAUCAGGGAGUAGGUAGUUGUUAUUCACGGACAUCAAGCGACAAAGGUUGUGUAUCUAGCGAAGGUACAUGACUGA
rnacentral:misc_RNA from 1 species